rnacentral:rRNA from 1 species
CAGUAGCCACGGUAAUACGUAGGGUGCGAGCGUUAAUCGGAAUUACUGGGCGUAAAGCGUGCGCAGGCGGUUCGUUAAGACAGAUGUGAAAUCCCCGGGCUUAACCUGGGAACUGCAUUUGUGACUGGCGAGCUAGAGUAUGGCAGAGGGGGGUAGAAUUCCACGUGUAGCAGUGAAAUGCGUAGAGAUGUGGAGGAAUACCGAUGGCGAAGGCAGCCCCCUGGGCCAAUACUGACUCUCAUGCACGAAAGCGUGGGGAGCAAACAGGAUUAGAUACCCGGGUAGUCCCUGUCUCUUAUAC